rnacentral:rRNA from 1 species
CAGCAGCCGCGGUAAUACGAAGGGUGCAAGCGUUACUCGGAAUUACUGGGCGUAAAGCGUGCGUAGGUGGUGGUUUAAGUCCGUUGUAAAAGCCCUGGGCUCAACCUGGGAAUUGCAGUGGAUACUGGGUCACUAGAGUGUGGUGGAGGAUAGUGGAAUUUCCGGUGUAGCAGUGAAAUGCGUAGAGAUCGGAAGGAACAUCUGUGGCGAAGGCGACUAUCUGGGACAACACUGACGCUGAGGCACGAAAGCGUGGGGAGCAAACAGGAUUAGAUACCCCUGUAGUCCCUGUCUCUUAUAC